CGCUUUUGUGGGGUGCUCGAGUGGCGAACGGGUGAGUAACACGUGAGUAACCUGCCCUUGACUUUGGGAUAACUUCAGGAAACUGGGGCUAAUACCGGAUAGGAGCUCCUGCUGCAUGGUGGGGGUUGGAAAGUUUCGGCGGUUGGGGAUGGACUCGCGGCUUAUCGGCUUGUUGGUGGGGUAGUGGCUUACCAAGGCUUUGACGGGUAGCCGGCCUGAGAGGGUGACCGGCCACAUUGGGACUGAGAUACGGCCCAG
rnacentral:rRNA from 1 species